rnacentral:rRNA from 1 species
UACGAAGGGGGCUAGCGUUGCUCGGAAUUACUGGGCGUAAAGCGCACGUAGGCGGCUCUUUAAGUCGGAGGUGAAAUCCUGGAGCUCAACUCCAGAACUGCCUUCGAUACUGAAGAGCUCGAGUCCGGGAGAGGUGAGUGGAACUGCGAGUGUAGAGGUGAAAUUCGUAGAUAUUCGCAAGAACACCAGUGGCGAAGGCGGCUCACUGGCCCGGUACUGACGCUGAGGUGGCGAAAGCGUGGGGAGCAAACAGG